UGAACGCUAGCGAUAGGCUUAACACAUGCAAGUCGAGGGGCAGCACAAGGUAGCUUGCUAUCUGGGUGGCGACCGGCGCACGGGUGCGUAACGCGUAUGCAACUUGCCCUAUACAGGAGGAUAACCCGUCGAAAGACGGACUAAUACUGCGUAUGCUCACAACUUGGCAUCAAGUGGUGAGGAAAGAAAUUCGGUAUAGGAUAGGCAUGCGUCCCAUUAGCUUGUUGGUGAGGUAACGGCUCACCAAGGCAACGAUGGGUAGGGGAACUGAGAGGUUUAUCCCCCACACUGGUACUGGGACACGGACCAGACUCCUACGGGAGGCAGCAGUGAGGAAUAUUGGUCAAUGGGCGCGAGCCUGAACCAGCCAAGUCGCGUGAAGGAUGACUGUCUUAUGGAUUGUAAACUUCUUUUAUACGGGAAUAACAAGAGUCACGUGUGACUCCCUGCAUGUACCGUAUGAAUAAGCAUCGGCUAACUCCGUG
rnacentral:rRNA from 1 species